AUUGAACGCUGGCGGCAUGCCUUACACAUGCAAGUCGAACGGCAGCGGACCUUCGGGUGCCGGCGAGUGGCGAACGGUGAGUAAUGCAUCGGAACGUGCCAUUGAGUGGGGGAUAACGUAGCGAAAGUUGCGCUAAUACCGCAUAUUCUGCGAGCAGGAAAGCAGGGGACCGCAAGGCCUUGCGCUCUUUGAGCGGCCGAUGUCAGAUUAGCUAGUUGGUGAGGUAACGGCUUACCAAGGCGACGAUCUGUAGCGGGUCUGAGAGGAUGAUCCGCCACACUGGAACUGAGACACGGUCCAGACUCCUACGGGAGGCAGCAGUGGGGAAUUUUGGACAAUGGGGGCAACCCUGAUCCAGCCAUGCCGCGUGAGUGAAGAAGGCCUUCGGUUGUAAA
rnacentral:rRNA from 1 species